rnacentral:rRNA from 1 species
UGGGGAAUAUUGCACAAUGGGCGCAAGCCUGAUGCAGCCAUGCCGCGUGUGUGAAGAAGGCCUUCGGGUUGUAAAGCACUUUCAGCGAGGAGGAAGGUGGUGGACUUAAUACGUUCAUCAAUUGACGUUACUCGCAGAAGAAGCACCGGCUAACUCCGUGCCAGCAGCCGCGGUAAUACGGAGGGUGCAAGCGUUAAUCGGAAUUACUGGGCGUAAAGCGCACGCAGGCGGUUUGUUAAGUCAGAUGUGAAAUCCCCGGGCUCAACCUGGGAACUGCAUUUGAAACUGGCAAGCUAGAGUCUCGUAGAGGGGGGUAGAAUUCCAGGUAGUAGCGGUGAAAUGCGUAGAGAUCUGGAGGAAUACCGGUGGCGAAGGCGGCCCCCUGGACGAAGACUGACGCUCAGGUGACGAAAGCGUGGGGAGCAAAACAGGAUUAGAUACCCUGGUAGUCCACGCUGUAAACGAUGUCGAUUUUGGAGGUUGUGCCCUUGAGGCGUGGCUUCCGGAGCUAACGCGUUAAAUCGACCGCCUGGGGAGUACGGCCGCAAGGUUAAAACUU